AGGAAGGGGCUCCCCAGAGAUGUCCUCGAACCUGGACUCCUGAGACCAUUUCUGACAGGAGGCUCCACCCCUCAGGGAUCUCAGAUGAGAACUGGGGCACAGCAACGGAUUUUUUAAGGCCUCAAAAAUGGAGGCAGGAACCUCUUCUCUUCUGCUGGCAAGAACCCCAGAAUUCAACUGUCACCAGAUGGCUCAGACUGAACAGGUUUCAAACCUCAAGGAGGCUCUUACCUUCUAAACAGGGACGGCUGUUUUCUAGUAAAAUCAGGAAAAGGAAAGAAGAAAACUCAAAAGAGGUGCCUCCUCACGCUUACGCUUCCACACACUGUCAGUGCCUUGCUAGUGUGCCAUGCACCAUGAGCGAGCUCUUCUCUUUGCAUGUGACUGUGAGUGUUUCCCUUGU